AUUUUUAAUGAAGAGACAUUUCUCCUAAAAGGUGGCAUCUCUUUUCCUUCAUGAGCUGGGUUUAAGGAAAUAAUUUUAUGACCUCAUUCUGGACCUUAAAACCUGUUUCUAGUGUUUGCAUGUGUCUACUGGGUAUGCUUUAGCUUUUUCAUGUGAAGAGACUUCUGGCAAAAAGAAUGUUUUUCCUCACUUGGUAAUGUUACUCCAAGAGCACAGUGUGGAAGACAGAAAACUUGCCAAGUGGAUGAACAACUAAGAAUUAUGUCUACCUCCAAAGAAACACUUGGAAAAAUUCUACCAAAAAGAGAGAGCUCUUAGCAGUUCUUUCAGUCUAUACAAAAGGAGACUAAAACUUCCUGUUGUUGAGAUCUACUUCUGGACCUCCCAAGCUGCAUUCUAUGGUUGUGAUCCCAGCUGCAUUGCCUGAUGCUGCAGGAGUUUUGCUCUCAUGUCUGUCACUGCCUUUCCAGCAGUCACAGGCUCCUGGAAGAUGUCCCCUCUGCCUUCUUCUCACCAAACUACACAAGAGCAGCUCUCUCUCCUCAGAGGCACUGUGUUCCAGGUCUCUCACCAUUUUUGUAGUCUCAGCUGGCUCCUCUACUCUUUUGCCACAUCCCUUCUGAACUGGAGGACCUAACACUGGAGACGAAUCCUGGAGAGGCCUCACCAGCUCUGGACAGAGUGGGUAGAAAUCACUCUUCUGGCUGUGCUAGACAUGUGGCUGCUAGUGCAGCCUGUUUAUCUUAUCUGUGAUGGGAGCAUAUUUCUGGUUAAUGGUCAGCCUGUUGUCUGCUGAAACCUCAAGUCCUUCUCAGAAGGGCUGUUGGGCAGAUUGAAUCUUCCAGCCUGGCUGAAGGCACAGAGUUGUGUCACCCCUUGUGCAGAGCUCUGCUCCAUUCGUCCUUAGAGACCACAGGGUGCUGCUUCUCAUGUUGACUCAGGCCCCUGUGGGCAGCCAUUUGUUAGGUGGCCACCCUCCCAGUUUAAUAUCACCCGUGGCUGUUCGUGCUCUCCACCGAAAGUAGAACCAAAAUAAAACUUCAUGUUGAUCUGAAUCUAUAAACCCCCUGGAGGGAGUAUUUCUGUCUUGAUCUGAGUAGGACAAGACAACCACAUAAACAGGAAUGAGAUGACUCCAACA